CCCUUAGAUGUUCUGGGCCGCACGCGCGCUACACUGACGAAUGCAACGAGCUUAUAACCUUGGCCGAAAGGUCUGGGUAAUCUCCAAAUUUCGUCGUGAUGGGGAUAGAUUAUUGCAAUUAUUAAUCUUCAACGAGGAAUGCCUAGUAAGCGCAAGUCAUCAGCUUGCGUUGAUUACGUCCCUGCCCUUUGUACACACCGCCCGUCGCUCCUACCGAUUGAAUGGUCCGGUGAAGCGCUCGGACCGCGGCCUCUUGACGGUUUUCCGUCGAUUGGCUGUGGGAAGUUCGUUAAACCUUAUCAUUUAGAGGAAGGAGANGUCGUNACA
rnacentral:rRNA from 1 species